rnacentral:lncRNA from 1 species
CUCUCUUUUACAUCUCAUCUCUCUAACUUUUCUGCCUUCUUCUAUAUUUGUGAUCAAUAUGAUUACAUUGAGGGAAUGGACAGAAACAGAAUAUAGUAGUGUGAAACUCUGUUGUCAGAGGUGAGGUCUUCUAUUUUACUUACUCUGAUAUGAUGGAUUUAUCAACCAAAGGAAUAAAACUUUAGGAAGCUCUCCUCUACCCUCGGGAGUCCUUUGCGGACCAGAAGGGUCGAACAACACUGAAGAGCAACAGCCAAGCUUCGGCAAUUUUAAAGAAAGGAAAAAAUGUGAACAAGAGCAAUGCGUGAAGAAAACGGC